rnacentral:rRNA from 1 species
UACGUAGGGCGCAAGCGUUGUCCGGAAUUAUUGGGCGUAAAGAGCUCGUAGGCGGCUUGUCGCGUCGACUGUGAAAUCCCGCGGCUCAACCGCGGGUCUGCAGUCGAUACGGGCAGGCUAGAGUUCGGUAGGGGAGACUGGAAUUCCUGGUGUAGCGGUGAAAUGCGCAGAUAUCAGGAGGAACACCGAUGGCGAAGGCAGGUCUCUGGGCCGAUACUGACGCUGAGGAGCGAAAGCGUGGGGAGCGAACAGG